GAUGAACGCUGGCGGCGUGCCUAAUACAUGCAAGUCGAGCGAAUGGAUUGAGAGCUUGCUCUUAUGAAGUUAGCGGCGGACGGGUGAGUAACACGUGGGUAACCUGCCCAUAAGACUGGGAUAACUCCGGGAAACCGGGGCUAAUACCGGAUAACAUUUUGAACCGCAUGGUUCGAAAUUGAAAGGCGGCUUAGGCUGUCACUUAUGGAUGGACCCGCGUCGCAUUAGCUAGUUGGUGAGGUAACGGCUCACCAAGGCAACGAUGCGUAGCCGACCUGAGAGGGUGAUCGGCCACACUGGGACUGAGACACGGCCCAGACUCCUACGGGAGGCAGCAGUAGGGAAUCUUCCGCAAUGGACGAAAGUCUAACGGAGCAACGCCGCGUGAGUGAUGAAGGCUUUCGGGUCGUAAAACUCUGUUGUUAGGGAAGAACAAGUGCUAGUUGAAUAAGCUGACACCUUGACGGUACCUAACCAGAAAGCCACGGCUAACUACGUGCCAGCAGCCGCAGUAA
rnacentral:rRNA from 1 species